rnacentral:rRNA from 1 species
UGGGGAAUAUUGCACAAUGGGCGCAAGCCUGAUGCAGCCAUGCCGCGUGUGUGAAGAAGGCCUUCGGGUUGUAAAGCACUUUCAGCGGGGAGGAAGGCGUUAAGGUUAAUAACCUUGGCGAUUGACGUUACCCGCAGAAGAAGCACCGGCUAACUCCGUGCCAGCAGCCGCGGUAAUACGGAGGGUGCAAGCGUUAAUCGGAAUUACUGGGCGUAAAGCGCACGCAGGCGGUUUGUUAAGUCAGAUGUGAAAUCCCCGGGCUCAACCUGGGAACUGCAUCUGAUACUGGCAAGCUUGAGUCUCGUAGAGGGGGGUAGAAUUCCAGGUGUAGCGGUGAAAUGCGUAGAGAUCUGGGGGAAUACCGGUGGCGAAGGCGGCCCCCUGGACGAAGACUGACGCUCAGGUGCGAAAGCGUGGGGAGCAAACAGG